UUUAGUGAUAGGACGGCAGAGCAAUCAGCGCUAGCGCCACUUCGGCAGUGCCAUCUCGACAGCGACGGCGAGCGACUUUUUUUUCUUUUCGUAUUUGGAAUCUUUGAAGUUGUUUGUGAUAGUGAUAGGAUCAACAAAAACUCAAAGAACAAAAUGCAUAAUUUUAAAAACAAGGUAGUGUUGAUCACUGGCGGGGCCUCCGGCGUCGGUUCAGGAGUUGUAAGGCAACUGAUGGAUGAAGAAGUGAAGCAUGUAGCCAUCCUCGACAUAGCCAAAGAAGCAGGUGAAGUUUUCCAAGGCGAAUUGAACGCGAAGUACGGACCCGACAAAGUUACGUUCCAUUUCUGUGACGUCACUGAUGAAGAAGUAUUCCUGGGGAUCAUGGCCGAGGUCAAGAACAAGCAUGGCCACGUCGACUUGCUUAUCAACAAUGCUGCUAUCAUGAAUGACAGCUGGCAGACGUAUAAGAAGGAAAUAUCUCUCAAUGUGAUGGCCCUAGUAACCAAUUCUCUUAGAGCCCUAGAAAUGAUGCGCCUCGAUGAGGGGGGUAAUGGCGGCACAAUCAUCAACAUCUCGUCUGUGGUCGCUUUGUGCCAGCAGCCAACGCUGCCCGUCUACUGGGCUACCAAAAGCGCGGUCCUGCAAUUCAGCAACUGCCUUGGAAUGGAGGAGCAUUAUAGCAGGUCAGGCGUACGGGUCAUUACUGUAUGUCUAGGCGUUACCGAUACGGGGCUACUCAAGCCGCAGAAGACAGGCCGCUUUGACAAAUACUUCGACGCGCAAUAUGAGGAGUUAUUUCCCGUUAUGAAAUUACAGAAGCAAGUUCUAACUAUCUUUAAAUUAAGUUUUCAGAGCUUGAAUGCUUAUUCUUAAUUAUAGGAUAUAAGAAAGAAGGAAGUGAGUGCUGAAAUGACAAAAGAUAGAGAGGAAAGGAAGAGGAAGACGAGUUGUACCGACCCCACGUAACGUGAGAUAAGGAAUGGAAUCAGCAGCCAAAGGAAUUAUAGAAGCCUACAAACACGGAGUG
rnacentral:misc_RNA from 1 species